UGAUGUCUGCUCAAUGAGUAUUAAAUAGCCAUAGUAUUUAUGACUAUGCAAAGGUAGCAUAAUCAUUUGUCUUGUAAAUUAAGACUGGAAUGAAUGGAUUUUUGAAUUAAAUCUUUCUUAGAUUAAAAAUUAAAAUUAGUUUUUUUGGUGAAGAAACCAAAAUGAUGAUGAGGGACGAGAAGACCCUAUUAAGCUUGAUAUAUUUAUUUUGUUGGGGAAACAAAAGAAAAAAAUUUCUUUAAAAUUUGGUUUGAUAAAAUGAUUUAUUAAUAAUAAUGAUAGAAUAAGUUACUAUAGGGAUAACAGCAUAAUUUUUUUAAAUAGUUCUUAUUAACAAAAAGAGUUAUGACCUCGAUGUUGGAUUAUAAAUAUUAUAUGAUGAAGUUG
rnacentral:rRNA from 1 species